ensembl:lncRNA
UGUUACCCGGCAGUCGAGAGGCUCCAGACCACACCGGGUUCACCAAGCGAGGUGGUAUGACCUCAGGCAAAGUCUGACGUACACCGACCGACCGACCGGCUGGGAGAGGAAUUAGAUGUGAGGUGAUCGAUACGGGGUGUGUGAGAGAAAGGUCCAUGUGCGCCAGAACAUACUGAAAUGGAUGGCUGACGGGUGUACUUUGAUGAGUGGAGCGCGAGCCGGACAAUUUGGAUGUUGAUGGCGAAUUCAUCUAAAUCAACGGUGAAAGAGGGGAC